GACCAGACUUGGGCUUGGUUAAUCAUCUGGGGUUCUCCCCAGUGCACUUUUCCAGUCCAGGCCAGCAUCAGUUUUCCCCGGGGGAUAAAGACUUCGGGAAUGUGGCUCUCUUCGGGGAGUGUUAUAGCCCGUUGUGUAAUACCCUGGGGGGGACUGAGGUUCGCGCAUCUGCAAGGAUGCUGGCGUAAUGGUCAUCAACGACCCGUCUUGA
rnacentral:rRNA from 1 species